CCUACGGGCGACAGCAGUGAGGAAUAUUGGUCAAUGGACGCAAGUCUGAACCAGCCAUGCCGCGUGCAGGAAGACGGCCCUAUGAGUUGUAAGCUGCUUUUGUACGAGGGUAAACGUAGAUAUGCGUAUCUUUCUGGAAGUACCGUACGAGUAAGGAUCGGCUAACUCCGUUCCAGCAGCCGCGGUAAGACGGAGGAUUCAAGCGUUAUCCGGAUUUAUUGGGUUUAAAGGGUGCGUAGGCGGUCGGAUAAGUCAGAGGUGAAAUCCCGAGGCUCAACUUCGGAAUUGCAUUCGAUACUGGUCGGCUAGAGAGUAGUAGCGGUAGGCAGAAUGUCAGGUGUAGCGGUGAAAUGCUUAGAGAUCAUACAGAACACCGAUUGCGAAGGCAGCUUACCAGGCUACUUCUGACGUUGAGGCACGAAAGCGUGGGGAGCAAACAGGAUUAGAUACCCCGGUAGUC
rnacentral:rRNA from 1 species